AUUGAACGCUGGCGGCAGGCCUAACACAUGCAAGUCGAACGGUAGCACAGAGAGCUUGCUCUCGGGUGACGAGUGGCGGACGGGUGAGUAACGUCUGGGAAACUGCCCGAUGGAGGGGGAUAACUACUGGAAACGGUAGCUAAUACCGCAUAACGUCGCAAGACCAAAGUGGGGGACCUUCGGGCCUCACACCAUCGGAUGUGCCCAGAUGGGAUUAGCUAGUAGGUGGGGUAAUGGCUCACCUAGGCGACGAUCCCUAGCUGGUCUGAGAGGAUGACCAGCCACACUGGAACUGAGACACGGGCCAGACUCCUGCGGGAGGCAGCAGUGGGGAAUAUUGCACAAUGGGCGCAAGCCUGAUGCAGCCAUGCCGCGUGUAUGAAGAAGGCCUUCGGGUUGUAAAGUACUUUCAGCGGGGAGGAAGGCGGUGAAGUUAAUAACUUCACCGAUUGACGUUACCCGCAGAAGAAGCACCGGCUAACUCCGUGCCAGCCGCCGCCGUAA
rnacentral:rRNA from 1 species